rnacentral:lncRNA from 1 species
GUUCUUGGAGAUGCUCCUUCACCAGCUAUAGAACAUGAAGAGAUGCCCGUAAGUUUUCCGGUGACUUCUUCAGCUCCUUGCUCUAAUAUUUCAUCAUCGCCAUUAUCACCAAUGACGUAUAAUAGUACGUCAUCUUCAGAAGCAAGAGAUUCUGGUGAUAGGGGGAGCAAGGUUACUUCUCACGUGGAUGAACAAAGGGAAAAUAUCAACCUGGAGGAGACAAAUGGUGAAAGAACAACUCGAUAUGGAAGGAAAGUCAUCAAACUUAUUCGCUAUCGAGAUGGCAACAUGGUAAGCAUCUAUCAUUGCUUCAGUGCCGGAUCUAUUUAUGAAAAUGAGCCUUCUUCCUAUAAUGAAGCAAAAGGUGUUAAGGAA